rnacentral:rRNA from 1 species
AUUGAACGCUGGCGGCAGGCCUAACACAUGCAAGUCGAACGAGUGGCGGACGGGUGCGUUCUGUAUGGGAAACUGCCUGAUGGAUGGGGUUAACUACUGGAAACGGUUGCUACUACCGCCUACCAUCAGCUGUGCCCCGAUGGGUUUAGCUUGUUGGUUGGGUAACGGCUCCCCAAGGCGACGAUCUCUUGCUGGUCUGAGAGGAUGACCAGCCACACUGGAACUGAGACACGGUCCAGACUCGUACGGGAGGCAGCAGUGGGGAAUAUUGCACAAUGGGGGAAAGCCUGAUGCAGCCAUGCCGCGUGUAUGAAGAAGGCCUUCGGGUUGUAAAGUACUUUCAGCGGGGAGGCGUUACCCGCAGAAGAAGCACCGGCUAACUCCGUGCCAGCAGCCGCGGUAAUUC